rnacentral:rRNA from 1 species
CUGGAGGUAUCAGAAGUGCGAAUGCUGACAUAAGUAACGAUAAAGCGGGUGAAAAGCCCGCUCGCCGGAAGACCAAGGGUUCCUGUCCAACGUUAAUCGGGGCAGGGUGAGUCGACCCCUAAGGCGAGGCCGAAAGGCGUAGUCGAUGGGAAACAGGUUAAUAUUCCUGUACUUGGUGUUACUGCGAAGGGGGGACGGAGAAGGCUAUGUUGGCCGGGCGACGGUUGUCCCGGUUUAAGCGUGUAGGCUGGUUUUCCAGGCAAAUCCGGAAAAUCAA